rnacentral:tRNA from 1 species
GCCUGGGUGGCUCAGUCGGUUGAGCGUCCGACUUCGGCUCAGGUCAUGAUCUCGCAGUUCGUGGGUUCGAGCCCCGCAUCAGGCU